AUCCAUCCUUAUAAUGGUCUACUCUUUCUCUCUCCCAACCCUUGUACCAGAGUGAUAAUGGGAACUCUGGUACAGAGGAUGGCUGAAAGGAAGCAGUGGAGAGUCCAGCUCCUGACCG
rnacentral:precursor_RNA from 14 species